rnacentral:rRNA from 1 species
GACGAACGCUGGCGGCGUGCUUAACACAUGCAAGUCGAACGGAAAGGCCCUGCUUUUGUGGGGUGCUCGAGUGGCGAACGGGUGAGUAACACGUGAGUAACCUGCCCUUGACUUUGGGAUAACUUCAGGAAACUGGGGCUAAUACCGGAUAGGAGCUCCUGCUGCAUGGUGAGGGUUGGAAAGUUUCGGCGGUUGGGGAUGGACUCGCGGCUUAUCAGCUUGUUGGUGGGGUAGUGGCUUACCAAGGCUUUGACGGGUAGCCGGCCUGAGAGGGUGACCGGCCACAUUGGGACUAAGAUACGGCCCAGACUCCUACGGGAGGCAGCAGUGGGGAAUAUUGCACAAUGGGCGGAAGCCUGAUGCAGCAACGCCGCGUGCGGGAUGACGGCCUUCGGGUUGUAAACCGCUUUCGCCUGUGACGAAGCGUGAGUGACGGUAAUGGGUAAAGAAGCACCGGCUAACUACGUG